CAAAGAGUGCUUGAAAUUGUCGGGAGGGAAGCGGAUGGGGGCCGGUGAUGCGCCCCGGUCGGAUGCGGAACGGCGAGAGCCGGUCCGCCGAUCGGCUCGGGGCGUGGACCGAUGCGGAUUACGGCGGCGGCCCAAGCCCGGGCCUUCGAUAAGCCUGUGGAGACGUCGUCGCCGCAAUCAUGGCUAGCAGCCCGCGCCCUCCGGGUGUGCUUCGCGUACCUGCGCGCUCCCGGCAUCGGCCUGCGGGCUCCCCAUUCACCCC
rnacentral:rRNA from 1 species